AAAUCCUUCUCCAGAACCAACAGUUGCUCUCCCAAAGAGAACCUCAAGAACCCUCAAGACUCCGGUGAAACCAGAAUCCAGGCCCGAACCAGCCUUCUGCAUAUUCAGUGUGAUUGUGCAGAUAAACUUGUUAAACUUUU